UGUUGUUUCGUGGGUUUAAUGUUAGGAUACUAAUUAGUAACUAACGAUGGGGGAUUAAUGGAGAAAUAUUUUGGGGAUGAAAUAGUCAUAUAAAUCAGAUUAAGGCCAUUGGAGGUCAUUUGGUUGGGGUUCUAGGCGUGGCAAGAUUGGAGAACUUUCCGUUAGUGAGAUACCGUUGCGGGAGAUAGAGCUAGUGGCUGACGAGUUGUUCGAGUGGAUCCUAUUGCUGAGGUGAGCCACCACAUUAUUCGUGGAGGCUUUCGUUUCAUACUUACCUAGCUCGUGUUAGUUAUUUCCUUUUUCUUUGGGAUUUGUAUACCUGUCAAUAAAACUCAUGUUACUCUAUUAGAUGCUCCAUGAUCUUAGUAUGGGAUUUGGGCUAGAGUUUUAUUAUUUGAGUGAUUGUUGGUCUUUCUAUAGAUUGACUAAGGCAUUGGGCGAUAAUUAUUACUUCUUUAAUUAUUAAUAAUACUUUAGGCCUGCACUUUGUCUCUCAGUGUUUAUGUAAAUGGUUAAACGUUAAACACAAGGGGUACGCCUGGCAGGUGGUGUUAGUUGGGUGCCAUUCACGUCUAGGGG